UCCUUUUAAAAUGACCUGGUGUAGAAACACAAAUUUUUUACCAAUCAAAUUUCACCAUGUGUUAUUUUAUUCUUUAAAAGAAAGGAUAAAAUAAAA